UAUGUAGGUGGCGAGCGUUGUCCGGAUUUACUGGGCGUAAAGGGAGCGUAGGCGGACUUUUAAGUGAGAUGUGAAAUACUCGGGCUCAACUUGAGUGCUGCAUUUCAAACUGGAAGUCUAGAGUGCAGGAGAGGAGAAUGGAAUUCCUAGUGUAGCGGUGAAAUGCGUAGAGAUUAGGAAGAACACCAGUGGCGAAGGCGAUUCUCUGGACUGUAACUGACGCUGAGGCUCGAAAGCGUGGGGAGCAAACAGG
rnacentral:rRNA from 1 species